UUUAUCUCACUAGUUCAAUUAAAAGACUAAUCCCAUCCACCCUGACCCCCAUCACGCACAAAACAAGUUUGAGAGUUAAACCCAACUGCGUGGCUCCUUCUCCUCCUUCUCCUUAAAUCGAAAAUCCACCUCAAUCCAUAGCUUUAUAAAUUCUCUCACUGCUCAAUCCCUAGAUUUUUAGGGUUUCCAAUUUAUUCUGUCACACCAUCCAAUCCCUAUCUUUCUAGGGUUUCUGAUCUAUUCCUCUUUCUCGUAUUUUUUUUCUGACCAAAAUUAAUGGCUUCCAUCCGGAGACCCUAUAUCAGUGGCUUCAUAGUUUCAGAGAUUAGUUAGCGGAGUUGUUGGUUAGGAUAAGGGUUUGAUGAGUGAUCUGAAUGCAGAUCUGGAUUUGUUGAAGGAUUUUUCUGGAAAUGAACACCUUGAUUAAAUAAUGAAACAAAAAUGAUAUAGAAGUUUUGUGCAAGCUUAUUAAUGUCAAUUAACAUUGGAGAACUUGGCAUUUACUUUUAGCAAGAAAGGGGCAUAGCAGCCAAAAUCAAGUUAGCAUUCAUUAAUUCUCAACUCCAAGUAGGAAGCAAUUUACUCUUAACAAAGUAAUUUUUAUUGGAAACUUCACUUGUCUGAUUGUUUUACAUUGGAGCAAUAUGAUUAAAAAGGAUUACGAUCAAAGAAAUGUUGGAAUUGCUAAAGAUCAUUGAAAAGUAACAGAAGGCAUGUUACAGCUGCUUCUUCAUAUGAUUAUGCAACCAAGAUAGUGGGGGCAAUGAAAGAAAAUUUACUAUUUACACCAAAAGUGUCCAAUUUUAGUUGUAUUAUGGUUUUGAGAAAACAUUGUCUUAAUUUUAGUUGUAUUAUGGUUUUGAGUAGUAACCAUGACUUUAGGUGUUAUAUAGUAACCAGUACAUGUUGCUACUUUUAGUACCCAUAGAAAGGAGGUACUCUGCUAUGCAAUUAUGUAAUACUACAAACAAUUGAAUGAAGGAGUUCAUAUAUUUGCCUCA